AACGAAAGCAUGGGUAGCGAAGAGGAUUAGAUACCCUCGUAGUCCAUGCCGUAAACGAUGUGUGUUAGACGUUGGAAAUUUAUUUUCAGUGUCGCAGCGAAAGCAUUAAACACACCGCCUGGGGAGUACGACCGCAAGGUUAAAACUCAAAUGAAUUGACGGGGACCCGCACAAGUAGUGGAGCAUGUGGUUUAAUUCGAAGAUACGCGCAGAACCUUACCAACACUUGACAUGUUCGUCGCGACUCUAAGAGAUUAGAGUUUUCGGUUCGGCCGGACGAAACACAGGUGCUGCAUGGCUGUCGUCAGCUCGUGUCGUGAGAUGUUGGGUUAAGUCCCGCAACGAGCGCAACCCUCACUUUUAGUUGCCAUCAUUUAGUUGGGCACUCUGAAAGAACUGCCAGUGAUAAGCUGGAGGAAGGUGGGGAUGACGUCAAGUCCUCAUGGCCCUUACGUGUUGGGCUACACACGUGCUACAAUGGCAUUUACAAUAGGAAGCAAGGUGGCGACAUCAAGCAAAUCCUAAAAAGAUGCCUCAGUUCGGAUUGUACUCUGCAACUCGAGUACAUGAAGCUGGAAUUACUAGUAAUCGCGGAUCAGCGCGCCGCGGUGAAUACGUUCCCGGGUCUU
rnacentral:rRNA from 1 species